rnacentral:rRNA from 1 species
GAUGAACGCUGGCGGCGUGCUUAACACAUGCAAGUCGAACGGAAAGGCUCCUGCUUGCAGGGGUACUCGAGUGGCGAACGGGUGAGUAACACGUGGGUUAUCUUCCCAGCACUUCGGGAUAAGCCUGGGAAACUGGGUCUAAUACCGGAUAGGACGAUGGUUUGGAUGCCAUUGUGGAAAGUUUUUUCGGUGUGGGAUGAGCUCGCGGCCUAUCAGCUUGUUUGUGGGGUAAUGGCCUACCAAGGCGUCGACGGGUAGCCGGCAUGAGAGGGUGUACGGCAAAAUUGGGACUGAGAUACGGCCCAGACUCGUAGGGGAGGCAGCAGUGGGGAAUAUGGAACAAUGGGGGAAAGCCGGAUGCAGCGAGGCCGCGUGGGGGAUGACGGCCUUCGGGUUGUAAACGCCUUUCGCUAGGGACGAAGCGGAAGUGACGGUACCUGGAGAAGAAGCACCGGCUAACUACGUG